rnacentral:rRNA from 1 species
UACGUAGGGGGCAAGCGUUGUCCGGAUUUAUUGGGCGUAAAGAGCGUGUAGGCGGUUUGGUAGGUCCGUUGUGAAAACUCGAGGCUCAACCUCGAGACGCCGAUGGAAACCAUCAGACUAGAGUCCGGAAGAGGAGAGUGGAAUUCCUGGUGUAGCGGUGAAAUGCGCAGAUAUCAGGAAGAACACCUGUGGCGAAAGCGGCUCACUGGGCCAUUACUGACGCUGAGGCACGAAAGCUAGGGGAGCAAACAGG